rnacentral:rRNA from 1 species
CGGAGGGUGCGAGCGUUGUCCGGAUUUAUUGGGUUUAAAGGGUGCGUAGGUGGCUAUUUAAGUCAGUGGUGAAAUACAGCCGCUCAACGGUUGAGGUGCCAUUGAUACUGAUUAGCUUGAAAUAAUUGGAGGCUGCCGGAAUGGAUGGUGUAGCGGUGAAAUGCAUAGAUAUCAUCCAGAACACCGAUUGCGAAGGCAGGUGGCUACGAUUUAUUUGACACUGAGGCACGAAAGCAUGGGGAGCAAACAGGAUU